GGGCUGUUAGCUCAGUUGGUAGAGCAGCUGACUCUUAAUCAGCGGGUCGAGGGUUCGAACCCCCCACAGCCCA
rnacentral:tRNA from 2 species